UACGGAGGAUGCGAGCGUUAUCCGGAUUUACUGGGUGUAAAGGGAGCGUAGACGGUAAUGUAAGUCUGAUGUGAAAGCCCGGGGCCCAACCCCGGGACUGCUUUGGAAACUGCCGUGCUGGAGUGCUGGAGAGGUAAGCGGAAUUCCUAGUGUAGCGGUGAAAUGCGUAGAUAUUAGGAGGAACACCAGUGGCGAAGGCGGCUUACUGGACAGUAACUGACGUUGAGGCUCGAAAGCGUGGGGAGCAAACAGG
rnacentral:rRNA from 1 species